AGAGUUUGAUCCUGGCUCAGGAUGAACGCUGGCGGUCUGCUUAACACAUGCAAGUCGAACGGGACUCUUCGGAGUUCAGUGGCGGACGGGUGAGUAACGCGUGAGAAUCUGCCUUCGGGUUGGGGACAACCACUGGAAACGGUGGCUAAUACCCAAUGUGCCGCAACGUGAAAGAUUUAUCGCCCGAAGAUGAGCUCGCGUCUGAUUAGCUAGUUGGUGGGGUAAAGGCUCACCAAGGCAACGAUCAGUAGCUGGUCUGAGAGGAUGACCAGCCACACUGGGACUGAGACACGGCCCAGACUCCUACGGGAGGCAGCAGUGGGGAAUUUUCCGCAAUGGGCGAAAGCCUGACGGAGCAAGACCGCGUGAGGGAGGAAGGCCCUUGGGUUGUAAACCUCUUUUGUCAGGGAAGAACACAAUGACGGUACCUGACGAAUCAGCCUCGGCUAACUCCGUGCCAGCAGCCGCGGUAAUACGGAGGAGGCAAGCGUUAUCCGGAAUUAUUGGGCGUAAAGCGUCCGCAGGUGGCUUAUCAAGUCUGCCGUCAAAGACCGGGGCUUAACCCUGGAAAGGCGGUGGAAACUGACAAGCUAGAGUGUCGUAGGGGUAGAGGGAAUUCCCGGUGUAGCGGUGAAAUGCGUAGAGCUCGGGAAGAACAUCGGUGGCGAAAGCGCUUUACUGGACGGCAACUGACACUCAGGGACGAAAGCUAGGGGAGCGAAUGGGAUUAGAUACCCUAGUAGUCC
rnacentral:rRNA from 1 species